AAGGGACGUAGCGGCGGAAGAUCAGCAUGUGGACGACAAUGUGUUUUUCUUUGAUUGAAAACUUUGCUUUGGUAGGCCUUCUAUAUGGGGCCUGCCAGAGAUUAAACUCAACCAAAUUUUAUUUAAUGUCAACCGAUUAUUUAAUAGUCAAAACUUUCAACAACGGAUCUCUUGGUUCUCGCAUCGAUGAAGAACGCAGCGAAAUGCGAUAAGUAAUAUGAAUUGCAGAUAUUCGUGAAUCAUCGAAUCUUUGAACGCACAUUGCGCCCUUUGGUAUUCCAAAGGGCAUGCCUGUUUGAGCGUCAUUUCUCCCUCAAACCCUCGGGUUUGGUGUUGAGCGAUACGCUGGGUUUGCUUGAAAGAAAGGCGGAGUAUAAACUAAUGGAUAGGUUUUUUCCACUCAUUGGUACAAACUCCAAAACUUCUUCCAAAUUCGACCUCAAAUCAGGUAGGACUACCCGCUGAACUUAAGCAUAUCAAUAAGCGGAGGAGAAA
rnacentral:rRNA from 1 species